rnacentral:rRNA from 1 species
AUUGAACGCUGGCGGCAGGCCUAACACAUGCAAGUCGAGCGGAGCGGCGGACGGGUGAGUACUGCCUAGGAACCUGCCUGUUAGUGGGGGAUAACGUCCGGAAACGGGCACUAAUACCGCAUACCAUCAGAUUAGCCUAGGUCGGGUUAGCUAGUUGGUGGGGUAAAGGCCUACCAAGGCGACGAUCCGUAACUGGUCUGAGAGGAUGAUCAGUCACACUGGAACUGAGACACGGUCCAGACUCCUACGGGAGGCAGCAGUGGGGAAUAUUGGGCAAUGGGCGAAAGCCUGAUCCAGCCAUGCCGCGUGUGUGAAGAAGGUCUUCGGAUUGUAAAGCACUUUAAGUUGAGAGGCGUUACCAACAGAAUAAGCACCGGCUAACUUCGUGCCAGCAGCCGCGGUAAUAC